GGUUAAGCGACUAAGCGUACACGGUGGAUGCCCUGGCAGUCAGAGGCGAUGAAGGACGUGCUAAUCUGCGAUAAGCGCCGGUAAGGUGAUAUGAACCGUUAUAACCGGCGAUACCCGAAUGGGGAAACCCAGUGUGACUCGUCACACUAUCAUUAACUGAAUCCAUAGGUUAAUGAGGCGAACCGGGGGAACUGAAACAUCUAAGUACCCCGAGGAAAAGAAAUCAACCGAGAUUCCCCCAGUAGCGGCGAGCGAACGGGGAGGAGCCCAGAGCCUGAAUCAGCAUGUGUGUUAGUGGAAGCGUCUGGAAAGGCGCGCGAUACAGGGUGACAGCCCCGUACACAAAAGCGCAUGUGCUGUGAGCUCGAUGAGUAGGGCGGGACACGUGGUAUCCUGUCUGAAUAUGGGGGGACCAUCCUCCAAGGCUAAAUACUCCUGACUGACCGAUAGUGAACCAGUACCGUGAGGGAAAGGCGAAAAGAACCCCGGCGAGGGGAGUGAAAAAGAACCUGAAACCGUGUACGUACAAGCAGUGGGAGCACAGGUUUACCUGUGUGACUGCGUACCUUUUGUAUAAUGGGUCAGCGACUUAUAUUCUGUAGCAAGGUUAACCGAAUAGGGGAGCCGGAGGGAAACCGAGUCUUAAUUGGGCGUUAAGUUGCAGGGUAUAGACCCGAAACCCGGUGAUCUAGCCAUGGGCAGGUUGAAGGUUGGGUAACACUAACUGGAGGACCGAACCGACUAAUGUUGAAAAAUUAGCGGAUGACCUGUGGCUGGGGGUGAAAGGCCAAUCAAACCGGGAGAUAGCUGGUUCUCCCCGAAAGCUAUUUAGGUAGCGCCUCGUGAAUUCAUCUCCGGGGGUAGAGCACUGUUUCGGCUAGGGGGCCAUCCCGGCUUACCAACCCGAUGCAAACUGCGAAUACCGGAGAAUGUUAUCACGGGAGACACACGGCGGGUGCUAACGUCCGUCGUGAAGAGGGAAACAACCCAGACCGCCAGCUAAGGUCCCAAAGUCAUGGUUAAGUGGGAAACGAUGUGGGAAGGCCCAGACAGCCAGGAUGUUGGCUUAGAAGCAGCCAUCAUUUAAAGAAAGCGUAAUAGCUCACUGGUCGAGUCGGCCUGCGCGGAAGAUGUAACGGGGCUAAACCAUGCACCGAAGCUGCGGCAGCGAACGUAUCACUUAAAGCGAUUCAGCGGGUUACGAUUGACGGAGCGAAGCGACGUCAAAGCGUAUACAAAGUCGAGUCGGUUUAAGGAUACGUUCGUUGGGUAGGGGAGCGUUCUGUAAGCCUGUGAAGGUGUGUCGUGAGGCAUGCUGGAGGUAUCAGAAGUGCGAAUGCUGACAUAAGUAACGAUAAAGCGGGUGAAAAGCCCGCUCGCCGGAAGACCAAGGGUUCCUGUCCAACGUUAAUCGGGGCAGGGUGAGUCGACCCCUAAGGCGAGGCCGAAAGGCGUAGUCGAUGGGAAACGGGUUAAUAUUCCCGUACUUGGUGUUACUGCGAAGGGGGGACGGAGAAGGCUAUGUUGGCCGGGCGACGGUUGUCCCGGUUUAAGCGUGUAGGUGUGUGUUCCAGGUAAAUCCGGUUCACUUUAACACUGAGGCGUGAUGACGAGGCACUACGGUGCUGAAGCAACAAAUGCCCUGCUUCCAGGAAAAGCCUCUAAGCAUCAGGUAACAUCAAAUCGUACCCCAAACCGACACAGGUGGUCAGGUAGAGAAUACCAAGGCGCUUGAGAGAACUCGGGUGAAGGAACUAGGCAAAAUGGUGCCGUAACUUCGGGAGAAGGCACGCUGACACGUAGGUGAAGUGAUUUACUCAUGGAGCUGAAGUCAGUCGAAGAUACCAGCUGGCUGCAACUGUUUAUUAAAAACACAGCACUGUGCAAACACGAAAGUGGACGUAUACGGUGUGACGCCUGCCCGGUGCCGGAAGGUUAAUUGAUGGGGUCAGCGCAAGCGAAGCUCCUGAUCGAAGCCCCGGUAAACGGCGGCCGUAACUAUAACGGUCCUAAGGUAGCGAAAUUCCUUGUCGGGUAAGUUCCGACCUGCACGAAUGGCGUAAUGAUGGCCAGGCUGUCUCCACCCGAGACUCAGUGAAAUUGAACUCGCUGUGAAGAUGCAGUGUACCCGCGGCAAGACGGAAAGACCCCGUGAACCUUUACUAUAGCUUGACACUGAACAUUGAGCCUUGAUGUGUAGGAUAGGUGGGAGGCUUUGAAGCGUGGACGCCAGUCUGCGUGGAGCCGACCUUGAAAUACCACCCUUUAAUGUUUGAUGUUCUAACGUGGACCCGUAAUCCGGGUUGCGGACAGUGUCUGGUGGGUAGUUUGACUGGGGCGGUCUCCUCCUAAAGAGUAACGGAGGAGCACGAAGGUUGGCUAAUCCUGGUCGGACAUCAGGAGGUUAGUGCAAUGGCAUAAGCCAGCUUGACUGCGAGCGUGACGGCGCGAGCAGGUGCGAAAGCAGGUCAUAGUGAUCCGGUGGUUCUGAAUGGAAGGGCCAUCGCUCAACGGAUAAAAGGUACUCCGGGGAUAACAGGCUGAUACCGCCCAAGAGUUCAUAUCGACGGCGGUGUUUGGCACCUCGAUGUCGGCUCAUCACAUCCUGGGGCUGAAGUAGGUCCCAAGGGUAUGGCUGUUCGCCAUUUAAAGUGGUACGCGAGCUGGGUUUAGAACGUCGUGAGACAGUUCGGUCCCUAUCUGCCGUGGGCGCUGGAGAACUGAGGGGGGCUGCUCCUAGUACGAGAGGACCGGAGUGGACGCAUCACUGGUGUUCGGGUUGUCAUGCCAAUGGCACUGCCCGGUAGCUAAAUGCGGAAGAGAUAAGUGCUGAAAGCAUCUAAGCACGAAACUUGCCCCGAGAUGAGUUCUCCCUGAGACUUAGAGUCUCCUGAAGGAACGUUGAAGACGACGACGUUGAUAGGCCGGGUGUGUAAGCGCAGCGAUGCGUUGAGCUAACCGGUACUAAUGAACCGUGAGGCUUAACCUU
rnacentral:rRNA from 1 species